rnacentral:lncRNA from 1 species
CCAAGGUAAGGGUGAGAUAAAUCCUAAGGGACUAGGAUAAAAUUCAAAGAGAUAAAAGAGACUUGAAAGAAACCGCAGGAGUUGAAUUUACAAAAGAUUUCAUUUACUUGAACAACUCUAUAGCAAUUGUUUUCUCUUCUCCUUUCUCUUUUUAUUCUUUUUUUUCUUUUUCAGAAGGAGUAUGUAUUGAUUGACAUCCUUCUAUUUUUUUCAUUCAUU